CUGACUUCUGAAAACAAUCACUGGCAAACCAUGUUUUUUUUCCAACACAAUAUUUGCAUAUGUGAUAUGUGCACUGUGCACUGGUUACAUUGGCAAGCUUGUUCAGUUAAUAAGUGUACAGUGUUAUUAGUGUGGUUUGUAGGUACAGUGGAAAGAUUUAAGGUGCCUAUCAUUUUCAUGGGACACUUUACUGUGAUCUUUUCAUAGUUCUUGAACAAUGGAAAUGGAAGUUGAGUACAUGGAUAUGAACUGGUAGAUACUCAACAGGGAGGGCAGCGUUUUUAGUGCCUAUCAGGUCAUUGUGUUAGCUGGUUCGCCCACAUCAAAAUCUAGUGCGUCCUAAUUUUAUGCGCCCCACAGCAGGUUUGCACACAGUAGAAAUGGUAGUGGUGGGGUUUCUGGCCAUGAAUGAACUUUUGAGGUUUACAUGCAUGCCACUUGGAGUUCGAAUCAUCAGGGGAUCUCUCAUUAUUAGCUGGGGGCUGCAUCUUGAAGAAGACCUAUGUUGGAACAGCACAGUGGCUGGAAAAAGACACACCCUUUUCCCUUUAACGCUGAGUGAGAGUUUGCAGUGACCGGCGGCAGCGGACCAGAUCAGUGAUGCUUUUUCUGAAUCGUUUUUGAUUUUUUGGUCGAUUAAAGUUGCCUUUCAGAACCAGCCAUGGCACGACACGUACACACGCACGGCGCACGGGCACUUUCUUCUGUCAGAUCUCUGCCUAACAUAUUGCUGUCAAAAAUAUCAGUUUUGCUAGAACUCAUCUAGAUGAGAUAUAGUUUGGUCUCAUUCACCUUUUAUAGCCAUUGGAUGUGAUGCUAUAAGAUGCGUGUGUGUUGACGUGGUUUGUACCUUUUCUUGUUUUCAAGGUGAAUGAGACCAAAUUAUAUCUUAUCUAAAUGAGUUCUAGGCACUCCCCAAAAAUAUUUAGUGCAUGACAGGACCUGGGUGAAAAUCCUGUUUGCUGGGAAAGUUGGAACACCAUAACUGUUGGCUGGCAAGCCUUUUCUUGUUACUAGAUUUGCAAAAAGGCCUCCUAGUUGCUUGCCGGCAGUGCCCACCGACCAUGGACAUGGAGGCACACACCCUGAGUGGUGGGCCGACGAGCCUCCCUUUUCCACUUGGGUUUCACCACUCUAUGAUUCCUAGCCCUCGCCAUCGGCCAUAUUUGAAACUGCAAAGCGAGUGCUUUGAAUUUCCAUGCCAUCUCCACUCGAACCGAAUCACCGUGAAGGGGUGUUAUAGCAGCCUUAGAAGUAAUAGUACCGACUUUGAGCUAACAGGGAAAAAAAGAUGAAAUUUAUUGGGCAAUUUAUGCUGGAUUCUAACAUUUGACCUUAGCUUAUAAUUAAGCUUAUGCUGCCAUUUAGAACUCAUGCUGCCAUGCAGUACGAGUAUUUGGAAGACAUCUGGUACAAUAUUCUUUCGGUACUGAAAACGAUUGAGAGAUCAUAAUGCACUGAUUUGUUGUUGCCCAGAAGUGGAUGGGUGAUGUGUGGCAGGUCAGGUCUUCUGGAGAAGAACUAAGUGGAGAGGAACUGUAUGCUGAAGCUGAACUGGUGGCAAGGGUGGCUGAACUGUAUGCUGAAGCUGAACUGGUGACGGAUGAUGCACUUUAUGCCCACGCACCACAAGGCGGCCACUCUCCUUCAUCCCAGAGCAAUGUGCCGCAGUGAAAUGUUUUGUACUCCCUCCAUCCCAAAACAAGUGUCGUGGUUUUACUUCAAAUCUGUUCAAUUUAAACUAAAACAACGACACUGAUUUUGGGACGGAGGGAGUAAAUCGUUGCUUAGAGCUUUAUGUUUUUGUUUUUGUUUUGUCUGAUGAUGCACCUUAGUUUGCGUGAUUUCUUGUUCAUUAGCUUGCAGACUUCCACUGCCUGACUGGGUCCUCAGGUUUUCAUAUGUUUGUCAGCUUUAAUUUUAAAUAACUUUUGUAUGUAAUGAACUCUUUUGUUGCAGGAUGAUAUGGUAGCUUUCCAGUGCCUGACUUGGUGUUAAAAUUUUGUGCAUAUGCGCAUCUCCAGUCUUGGGAUCCUUGAGGUCGCUCCAAGGGAAGGGCAACAUUCAUGGAGACUGGAUACUGAGCGGAUCACUUUCUAUGUGAUGGCAUAUAAUGAUACUUAUUGCGCGUUUGCUAUUCUUUAGGCGUCCGAAAAACAUUCAGGCGCCAGUCGAAUCUGCGGAGCCUCCGAAGGUGAGACGGGGAUGCGGGAGCCGACACUUCAGCCGGCGUCGAAGGGUGAGUCUACGGGCAGACACGGGAGGAGGAAGAAUAUGACUCUGGCUGUGGGAUGUAGAUCGGACGGUUGAGGGAAAUUUGAUUGAACUGGUUUCUUUUCUAGACGACUUUAGUGCUCCCUCAGUCUCAAAAUGUAAGACGUUUUCUGAUACUAUUUUGAUUUUGAGACAUAAGAGAGAGUAUUUCCUUUUAA